GAUGAACGCUAGCUACAGGCUUACCUCAUGCAAGUCGAGGGGCAGCAUGGUCUUAGCUUGCUAAGGCUGAUGGCGACCGGCGCACGGGUGAGUAACACGUAUCCAACCUGCCGUCUACUCUUGGCCAGCCUUCUGAAAGGAAAAUUAAUCCAGGAUGGGAUCAUGAGUUCACAUGUCCGCAUGAUUAAAGGUAUUUUCCGGUAAACAAUGGGGAUGCGUUCCAUUAAAUAGUAGGCGGGGUAACGGCCCACCUAGUCAACGAUGGAUAGGGGUUCUGAGAGGAAGGUCCCCCACAUUGGAACUGAAACACGGUCCAAACUCCUACGGGAGGCAGCAGUGAGGAAUAUUGGUCAAUGGGCGAUGGCCUGAACCACCCAAGUAGCGUGAAGGAUGACUGCCCUAUGGGUUGUAAACUUCUUUUAUAAAGGAAUAAAGUCGGGUAUGCAUACCCGUUUGCAUGUACUUUAUGAAUAAGGAUCGGCUAACUCCGUG
rnacentral:rRNA from 1 species